UACAUUAUAGUGUACGAGGCACAAGAAUUUUUGAUAUUCUAAGAAAUAGUUUAAUUCUAUUAAAUGUAA
rnacentral:tRNA from 1 species